GACGAACCGUGCGAACGUUAUUCGGAAUCACUGGGCUUAAAGCGCGUGUAGGCGGCCCGGCACGUCCGUCGCUGAAAUCCCCCGGCUCAACCGGGGGAAGUGGCGUGGAUACGGCCGGGCUGGAGGGGGGUAGGGGGAGCCGGAACUUCCGGUGGAGCGGUGAAAUGCGUUGAGAUCGGAAGGAACGCCCGUGGCGAAAGCGGGCUCCUGGACCCCACCUGACGCUGAGACGCGAAAGCCAGGGGAGCGAACGGG
rnacentral:rRNA from 1 species